UGGGGAAUUUUGGACAAUGGGCGCAAGCCUGAUCCAGCAAUGCCGCGUGCAGGAUGAAGGCCUUCGGGUUGUAAACUGCUUUUGUACGGAACGAAAAGCCUCUCUCUAAUACAGGGGGGUGAUGACGGUACCGUAAGAAUAAGCACCGGCUAACUACGUGCCAGCAGCCGCGGUAAUACGUAGGGUGCAAGCGUUAAUCGGAAUUACUGGGCGUAAAGCGUGCGCAGGCGGUUUUGUAAGACAGUGGUGAAAUCCCCGGGCUCAACCUGGGAACUGCCAUUGUGACUGCAAGGCUGGAGUGCGGCAGAGGGGGAUGGAAUUCCGCGUGUAGCAGUGAAAUGCGUAGAUAUGCGGAGGAACACCGAUGGCGAAGGCAAUCCCCUGGGCCUGCANUGACGCUCAUGCACGAAAGCGUGGGGAGCAAACAGGAUUAGAUACCCUGGUAGUCCACGCCCUAAACGAUGUCAACUGGUUGUUGGGGGAUUUAUUUCUUCAGUAACGAAGCUAACGCGUGAAGUUGACCGCCUGGGGGAGUACGGCCGCAAGGUUAAAAACUC
rnacentral:rRNA from 1 species